UGUUUCUCUCUCAUCUCCAAUCGCACAUUCAACAGUGGUUCUCGGUCUCCUGGCAUUUAGGAUUUAUGUCUGUUAUUAUUACUGACAAAGAUAAGAGCUUAUGAGGACUGGCUGGAGAGGUGAUACUCUGGCCUAGACAGUACCUGAGCAAGCCCAGAAAACCAUCAGAUAAUCUACAAACUCACUGAAAUUUUAUUCCUUCCUUGUAAAAUU
rnacentral:lncRNA from 1 species